GGUCAAUCAUGUAAUGAUAUGUACUAGCUGAAUCCACAGUUGAUGUGAAUUUUAAAAUUAUGCUGAGACCUU